UUCACGUGUUGGGUCCUCCUUGGCUGACUCGCCGCCCUCGCCGACGCACCAUGGACUCCCGGAGGCAGGUGGUCAACUUUGGGCCUGGUCCCACCAAGCUGCCGCACUCAGUGUUGUUAGAGAUACAAAAGGAAUUAUUAGACUACAAAGGAGUUGGCAUUAGUGUUCUUGAAAUGAGUCACAGGUCAUCAGAUUUUGCCAAGAUUAUUAACAAUACAGAGAAUCUUGUGCGGGAAUUGCUAGCCGUUCCAGACAACUAUAAGGUGAUUUUUGUGCAAGGAGAUGGGUCUGGCCAGUUCAGUGCUGUCCCCUUAAACCUGACUGGCUUGAAAGCAGGAAGGUGUGUGGACUAUGUGGUGACAGGAGCUUGGUCACCUAAGCCUGCAGAAGCCAAGAAGUUUGGGACUAUAAAUAUUGUUCACCCUAAACUUGGGAGUUAUACAAAAAUUCCAGAUCCAAGCACCUGGAACCUCAACCCGGCUGCCUCCUACGUGUACUAUUGAGCAAAUGAGAUGGUGCAUGGUGUGGAGUUUGAUUUUAUACCCAAUAUCAAGGGAGCAGUACUGGUUUGUGACAAGUCCUCAAACUUCCUGUCCAAGUCAGUGGAUGUUUCCAAGUUUGAUGUGAUUUUUGCUGGUGCCCAGAAGAAUGUUGGCUCUGCUGCAGUCACCGUGGUGAUUGUCCCUGAUGACUUGCUGGGGUUUGACCUCCCAGAGUGCCCCUCGGUCCUGGAAUACAAGGUGCAGGCUGGAAACAGCUCCUUGUACAACAGGCCUCUAUGUUUCGGCAUCUACCUCAUGGGCUUGGUCCCGGAGUGGAUUAAAAACAGUGGAGGUGCCGCGGCCAUGGAGAAACUUAGCUCCAUCAAAUCUCAAAUCUCAAAUGAUUUAUGAGAUUAUUGAUAAUUCUCAAGGAUUCUACGUAUGUCCAGUGGAGCCCCCAAGUAGAAGCAAGAUGAGUAUUCCUUUCUGCAUUGGCAAUGUCAAAGGAGAUGAUGCUCUAGAAAAAAGAUUUGUUGAGAAAGCUCUUGUACUCAAUACGUUGUCCUUGAAAAGGCAUAGGUCUGUGGGAGGCAUCCAGGUCUCUCAGUAUAAUGCUGUCAUGAUUGAAGAUGUUCAGAAACUGGCCGCCUUCAUGAAAAAUUUUUGGGAGAUGCAUCAGCUAUGA